rnacentral:rRNA from 1 species
AUACGGAGGGUGCAAGCGUUGUUCGGAAUUACUGGGCUUAAAGCGCGUGUAGGCGGAAUGUCAGGUGUCUGGUGAAAGCCCCGGGCUCAACCCGGGAACGGCCAGGCAAACCGGCAUUCUUGAGGCAGGUAGAGGUGACUGGAACGACUGGUGGAGCGGUGAAAUGCGUAGAUAUCAGUUGGAACGCCAGCGGCGAAAGCGAGUCACUGGGCCUGUCCUGACGCUGAGACGCGAAAGCGUGGGUAGCGAACAGGAUUAGAAACCCCGGUAGUCC